rnacentral:rRNA from 1 species
UACAGAGGUCUCGAGCGUUGUUCGGAUUCAUUGGGCGUAAAGGGUGCGUAGGUGGCUUGGUCAGUCGGAUGUGAAAUCCCGGGCUCAACCCCGGAACUGCAUUCGAUACUGCCUUGCUCGAGGACUCGAGAGGAGAUUGGAAUUCACGGUGUAGCAGUGAAAUGCGUAGAUAUCGUGAGGAAGACCAGUGGCGAAGGCGGAUCUCUGGAGAGUUCCUGACGCUGAGGCACGAAGGCCAGGGGAGCAAACGGG